UCAACGCACUGAAUAGACACCACAUCGACCUCUUUGUCAGGGACUUUUCUCUCUAAUAAUGCAGUAUGUCUGCAACAACAAUGUCUGCAUUGCUAACAUGUAUUCUUUUUUCAGAUUCUUCCAAUUCCACCAUCAACGCACCGGAUUUACACCACAUCGACCUCUUCAUCAGUGACUUCUCUCUCUAAUAAUACAAUUCUUCCAAUUCCACCAUCAACGCACUGAAGAGACACCACAUCGACCUCUUUGUCAGGGACUUUACUCUCCAAUAAUACAAUUCUUCCAAUUCCACCAUCAACGC